GGUCGGGUAGCUCAGUUGGUAGAGCAACGGACUGAAAAUCCGUGUGUCGGCGGUUCGAGACCGCCCCCGACCA
rnacentral:tRNA from 2 species